UUUCGUGUCAUUUUUUCUAUAGUAAAAUUUAUUUUUUGUAUAGUUUUUUUUAUUUCUUCAGAAAGUGUAUCUUAACAAUACAGUUUUGCAUCUUAUACAACCCAUAUCUUAUGAUCAAAAGGAUUUUGAACCACAACAUUUAAUUAUUAUUGCAAGAUAGAUUGUAAAUCAAGUAAAUAUUACAAGUACGAGUAAAGAAGAUUUUUGCAGUAAAAUUGAUUAUGAAAACAGUUUAUUUUGAACCCUUAUAUGAAAAAUAUUUUAAACGUAUUCAAUACCAAAAUUAUUCAAUUGAGAAGUAUCUUUGAAGUCGUUGCUAUGCGGCUGUAAAGUGUCUACUAUGCAUCAUCGCUUUGGCUCACAUCAUGAAAAACUAAAGGCAGCUACUGUAUACCAUAUAUGUAAUGUUUGUUUUCAAUUUCCUAAAAUGUAUUAAACUAAAAUUAUUAAAUUGUGAAAUAAAAAAAAUAAAUACAAAAAAAGCAAAAAACCGAAGCAAAGUUAAAAUGCUUGAAAGCAAAUGUGAGGUGUAAUUUUUUUUAAGAAUAACAUCUUUGAAUGCAAAUCUUUACUACUCGUUAUCCUGGCUCCAAAAAAGUAUGCCGUUGCCAGAUCUUUAUGGAUUCCGCCGAGUUAUAAUGAAAAAACGCAUAUCCUUUUUCAAAAACAAGCUAUAUCUCAGCUAUGUCCUGCCGCAUUUUCAAAGGACACAUCUUGCUAGGAUCACAAGGACCUCCUCUAUCGAACGGCAUUAAAAAAAUAUGGGGUCAUCUAAGAAUCCAAAACUUGUGUUUUUUCAGUCCGAGGGCCUAAGGAAACAGGCCGAAAUCACAAAAUCCAGGAUAUCUCGAGAACUGCAAGGACGAUUUGAAUGUCCUUUGGCCAAUCGAUAGGUCUCCUUAAUACGCACC